UCCUCCUCCUCCUGCCUCCCAGCUUCCUCUCUACCUGAUCCUUUCCCUUGCAGGCGUUUCUGUUCUGGUUCUACUGAUCUCUCUGGUUCUUCUGGUGAUACGACGCCUCAGAAGGAAACCUGAAGAGAGCAAUCUGCCAGAUUAUUCAGCGGCAGAAAGAAGAGCACCGGCUCCUGGUGAGGAAGCAAACAGGAGAACAGAACCAGCUCCGGAUACAGUUUAUUCAUUGGUGGGGCCACAGAGCGAGGUCAUUUAUGGGCCGGUCGACAUCAGGAUGAACAGGAGAGAACCUCGACCAGAACCAGAACCACAGGUUGUCUACUCGCUGCUGAGGUCCUCCGGGGAACCUUCACAGCAGUCCAUCCCGGCUCGCUGGUAACUGGAUCUACUCACAGAACCAUCCAUCCAUCCUGGUAGCAACAGGUCCAGGAGUCGUACCCAGAGAUCCUUCAGCCACACUCCAGCUGGUUCUGAUGGCGUUCCAGUGUUAGAGAGGAUAAACUGUACUGAUAUAACACGUCGUUGAGCCGUUAUAAAGACAUGCAAAAGGAAAACGACCCCUGGAAAGAGGUAGAGCGAGCGAUGGAUGCAGGAGGCGGUCUGUUGGAAGAGAUGGAGAUAUCAUCAGGAUAAAUUUAUGAUGCCACACAUCAGGUCAGCAAAAAGAAGAGCGGUGAUCCUGGCGUGAAAAAAACGGUCCUGGCUGUCUUCACGUCCUUAAAGUGACCCGACAAACACCCAACACUCUGUGAGACAACCACCGUGUCUUUGUCUCAGACUGAGGAAAUGGAUUCAGAGCCUGAGGGACGGUCCGGUGCCAUCGUGGCCUGGACUCCUCCCAUGCGGCCUGAUCUCUGUCCACCAUCAGCCUGGCAGACCUGGGAGCUCAGCGCUCCACUACCAGCCUGACGUGGCAGAGCUUUCCACACAGGAAGAGGCCCAGCAGCUCAGCAGGCCUUCAUUUUCAGUCACACUUGGUGUCUUGGACAAAAGGAGGGUUGGGGGGGGGGGAGCAGUGAUGGAAGCUGGGAGACAGAGAUGGACCAGUGUGGCAGAUACAUCAGGGAUUUUAUGAGUUUAUGAGAGAAUUCAGGAGGAAGCUACAUCAGCGUAUGUUUGCUGGAGGUCAGCGAUGCAGAAAUACAGACAUCUUCUACAGUGAUGCCAUCUCUUUGUCAACAACACAGCAGUAUAUGUUGAUCCCUGAUGAUGUUCCUGAUGAUGACUGUAAGUUCACUUUUCUGAACCAGAGCGCCUCAUUUCUAGAGACGCUGAUGUAGCAGAAAGCUGAAAACAGGUGGACUGAUUCCACGCUCUGUUAAAAAGUUAUUUAAGUAUCAGGUUAUCUCUGCUGGUUUUCCUCCUGCAGAUUUAAACACCUUCUUCUCUGCAUUUAGAUCAGGUGUGUUCAAAGUGGGGCCUGGGGGCCGUUUGUGGCCCCUAGCACUGGUGGCUGAUGCACAUGGAAGAUUUUUACCUUUACUUAGGGCAAAAUUAUUACAGACUAGUUAAAAUCUUACAAUUAAAUGUUAGGCACCACACAUUAGUCUUUUAAUAACUACACGUUUUACAUGCUUUUUAAUUUCAGAGUC